AAAGUAUCAUUACUAUUUAGAUCUGUUGCACAGAACCUACCGGUUAGGGGCUUGGAUUAUCUUAUGGGUAUAUGAUAUCCUAUGUCCACUUUUCUUGACACCUGAAAAAAGCUCCUAACUAAAAAUAUUCUGAUGACAAAGUUUUGAAGAGGGCCUAAUUUUUAACAUGGAAACUGAUUUGUAUUGAAGAUCCUGGAGCUGGAUUUGAAGAAUGUAUGUAGUUUCUUAUUUUUUUAAAGAAGUAAUUGAGAUGAAAAUUUAUAUUCUACAAAACAGUGGGAAAAAAAUAAAAAGGAGCCGAAGUUUGAAUAGAAAGAUUCGAAGGCAGAUGAAGUUCCUAAUUCGUAUUAGGUUGCUAAUUCUGAUCAUUUUUCUCUGCAGUUCAAGAAUUCUGAUCAUUAUCCUGCGGCCAGAGCAGAGGAAUAUAUUCUCCAUCUGGUAGCUUAUUUCUUACUGUAUCUCUGAUAUGGCCUUGUAGAUAGCUCAUGUCAUAGUGGUAAUGUGUAAAGCUAGACUUGAAACGGACUUCUUGUAAUAUAAAUGAGAUUUUGUGUAGAGCAACAAGAUGCUUCUGUAAGGCGCCUGAUUCUAGCACCCCCUCUAUUCUACUCUGCCAACAGCUUCUGUCUUCCUUUUUGUCAAAAGCUCCAAACACAUUUUGAGAAAAGUUGAGGAUAAAAGCAUCUCCUUUAUUGCUUCAGUAGGGCCCUUGAAAGUCUUUGUUCUGUACUAGUACUCUUUGUCAACAUAAUAGCUGUCAAGAUUAGAUUGUGUUUGGCCCAGGUAUAAUCGGGAUUUCCCAAAAACCUGCUGACUUAUGGUGUCAUACAGGAGGUGGAAGGCUAAAACAGUUAAUCAUUUCUUCGGAAUUUUGCAGUGUAAAUGGACCAAAAGUCCUGAACUUCGUUGUCUUUGAGGGCACUUGGAUGCGCUUUCCCAAUCUAGUCAAGGUUUUGCACCCUGUAGAUUAAUUGGUUGCAGUAGGACGAAAAGAGUUUUAAACGUGCACUUUUGGCUCGAAUGUCAAUGAAGCUUCUUUCUCUUUUAGCUGGUAGCUUGAGAGGGAUGUUUAUGCAUUGCUUCCUCGCCUUUUCUGAAUUGGUGUGACUAGUUAUGGAAUCUGAUCCUUUUAGGAUAAAGACAUCUUUGAAUUGAUGCUUAUGUGAUGGAUAUUCCCCUCCCAUGGAUGAAUGGAAAAUCAGGUCAGCAGCAGCAGCCCACCGAUAAUCCUUGUACCAUCCAAUCAGCUAUCAGACCACUGCAAUAUUAUUGCUUGUUUUUGUUUUUCCUCUUUUCAAAAGGAAUCUGGUUCCAUCUUAAUUCCCUAUUUCUGG